ensembl:lncRNA
UGGCGUCACCACUAGAUGGCGAAAUAUACUUAUUGCAUAUAAGGGAGAGGAAACAAAGCAAGAGUAUUUUCACGUUUGUUCUUGAGCUAACAAGCGCGAGAAAAUGGUUUAAGCUUUAAGCUUUAGUAUCCCUUUGGCAAGCAGAGCGAGGUACGUUAGUUUGUUUUCUAUGUAUUUCUUUUGUACUAUUUGUUUAAUUUGAACAAUGUUAAAUGUGUAGUGAAUGUUUGUUUGGUUGUUUAUAUUGUGAAUGUUGAUUGUCUAUUUUGCUUUGAUAUUUAUGUAUUGUUUUUUGUUUUCUUUGUAGUUUUACGGUGCCACCAUGCUGUGAUACAAUUGUUAUGGUGCUAUGAAGUUAAUGUGUAAACACAGUGUUGUGAUGCAUGGAGAACAUUUGCAACAAAGAAUUGAGACAACGAUCACUUCAGCAAUGAAGUUUAUUGCAUCUUAAAAUAAAUCGAAGGCACCCGUCGAAAACUCUGUUUCUUUUCUAUGAAGCUGAAGGGCCGCUACAGUAAAACUCGCUGCUACACAUGAGGUUUCAUUGUGUUGCUGUUGUUUCAUCGCGUGAGUGGGACACUGGACUUUGCAUCUAAAGCACUGAUUGAAUCACGUCACGUCACAGGAAAACGGAUACUUCAUCAGGAUUGUAAAAUUACACAGUCAGUUGGAGCGCGGCUCAUUCAUGAACAAUCAGAGAUGCGUCUAAGACUGGAAGAAGAAAGGACUAGGCUGCAGAUGCUACAAGCAGAUAAAGAAGUCAAGGUAGCCGCAGCUCGAGCGAACGUCUACAAUAAUCAUGAGAGUAAUCUUGAAGAGGAGGGGAGAGGUAAUGCAACGAGGUCUGGAGGGAGAGCGGCUGGAAACCAACCCCAGCUGAAUCCUCAGGUAGAGUCAUUCCAUCCUCAAGCAUUUCAAGAGGUAAAGACAACUCAAGAGACUGAGAACUUAGCUCAAGUGUUAGCGAACUCUCUAAGCAUAAAUCGAUUACCUGUCCCAGAGCCAACGACUUUCACUGGUGAUCCUUUAAAGUUCAUUGAUUGGAAAAUGUCCUUCACCGCACUUAUUGAUCGUAAAUCAAUUCCUGCAAGCGAGAAGAUGUUUUACUUGAAAACCUAUCUUGCUGGAGAAGCUCGAAAGGCUGUGGAAGGUUUCUUCUAUAGAAAUUCUCAUGAUGCAUACCAGGGCACCUGGAAGGUCCUUGAAGAGCGGUAUGGAAACCCGUUAAUUGUUCAGAGAGCCUUUCGAGAAAAACUCAUGAGAUGGCCUAAGGUGGGAGUAAAUGACCCACUUUCCUUACGAGAAUUCACUGACUUUCUACAAGGUUGUGUUGAAGCUAUUCCGCAUGUCAAAGGUUUGGCUAUUUUGAAUGACUGUGAGGAAAACCAUAAAUUACUAAAGAAAUUACCUGAGUGGAUUGUACGUAAAUGGAGCAAAAUUGUGGUUGAAGAGUUAGACAUGACUGGCGAUUAUCCAAGUUUUAAACGAUUUGUAGCGUUUUUGCAGAAGGAGUCUAAAAUAGCUUGCAAUCCAUUCACUUCUCCACUUCUACUGAGUUCUAAAGUUUCAGAUGAGAAAUUUCCCAAAAGAGUCAGAG